rnacentral:lncRNA from 1 species
CAUUCGUGGUGAUGCUAAGGACCGGAAGGGUCUUUAACCUUUUCUCUCCCUCCUAGCUCAGCCCUCACGGAACCCUAAAAGCUGGCUAAGGGGCCAUUCUCCUCGCCACCUGGGCCUGCGUCUGCCGAAUCGCUUCCUAAGGACUUUGACUAGAAACCAAAGGUCCCAUUUUUCAUCUGCCAUUUAUUUAUCAUUGCAUAACUUAGGUAAGUCCCUCCGCCUUCACUGUCAGUUCUUCACUCAUUGUUUUGCAUCCAAGGAGUCUGGAAAUAAGCGGGAACACCCUGCACGUGAGAGGGGCCCUGAAAUUCACGAGGGGCUGGGGCUUUGCGUUUAUUCCUCCAGUUCCGCCUGCAGCAACCCUGACGAUCGAGCAGGGCCCGCGGGGGAGCGAGCGGAAGCGGGCAGCGUGCGCUGCUGUCCCGCUACCCAGCCCGCUAGGCUGCGCAGCUGCGUCUGCGGGCGGGGAGCCGGGGCGGCCGUGGGCUUCCUCCGGGCGCGGGCUGACGGCUGCCGCCUGUGGGCGCCCCAGCCCUGCAGCCGAGCGGGAGGGGCGGACCAGCGGGUGUCGGGAGCAGGCUGCAGCGGCCAGGCCUCUGCGGCUUCUCGGAGUACUGGGUCCACUGGAGAGCGAAGAGCCGCGGCCGCCAGGAUUCCCAGCAGCGGCCGCGUGUUGAGAGCCUAGAAGUGGCCCCGAAGCCGUGCCUUUCCCGAUAGCCAAGCAGAAGUAGGACUUGAAGCACCGAGGCUGGGAUGCCCAUGCUGGUGACGCCUUGGGGCUCGCAGUUAUACUUGGUGACCGGUCUACACGGCGAUUCGGUGCUUUCCGGAGUAGCAGAUUCAUCUAUCUUUAGACCCACCUUCGUCCUUCGGCGGUUUAGCACGGCCUGCGCUUUCCUGCGAGCCCUGCUGUCACCCGAACAGCCUGAUGACUUCACGCUCAACCACUGGAGGGCACAACCACAUCAUUUUUAAAAAAUAGAUUCCUCCACUUAAAGGACAUGGUUUUGGGGGAAAGAACAUUUAAAAAAUGUAAAAAGAUAUAUAUCUAUAUCUAUAUAUCUAUCUCAGAUUGUUCUGAUAUAAACUCAGGUGGGAUUCUUCAAAACAGGAGGCUGUUCCAGUCUCUUCAUUUUGCAGCUGAGAAAACGAAGGCCUUGGAGCUUGAGAACUCCAGUUGCCCAAGGCACACAGGUGGUGGGUAAGGAAGCUGAUCAUGUCUCCAAAGAAUCCUUCCAUGACCCAGGAGGAUCCGGUGGGAGAGCAGGGCCGUCCACAGCUCAGCUAGGACACAAGAAGGCCCGGGGUGGCAGGAGCCCCACUGUGUGCUGCGGAGGAUGGCAGAGGAAGUCAGCAUUGUCCCGAAACUGCAGGAUCAUGUGAUGUGAUGGGAAAAAAUUAUGAGUACAAGACACAGGAAGAGCAGGUCACGGAAACACAUGGUGCCCAGAAGGGCUUAAUUAGUAGCAGCUGUGCGGGGUGAUGCACAGAGUGCCCCAAGGGUGUCCUGAGUGAGGGUGGAUGUCCCCUGCCCUCUGGCUUCGUGAAGGCUUCGUGAAGCCUGCCGGGUCACCCUUGUUUUCAUGGAUAGCUUCUUUAGGACACUCUCUCCACCAGUAAUUGACAAAGUCUGCUUCUGUUGAGUGUCUGAUAAAGGAUUGAGUUUACAUGAUUGUUAAGAUAGGAUCAUGAAAGAAGACAGAAGACGGAUGUGAGUGGCCCUCAGAAAAAAAGCAUCAAAGGAAACUGAGGAGUCUGUGUUCCGAGUUAUAACAUCAGUCCUGUGUUGAAAGCAUAUUGACUUUCCUGACUUCUUAUGACCACAUUUGAGGAAAGGAGUAAGCACUGGAAUCACCAACACAGCAUGCUUACGGAGGGUGGUCACCAGCUUCAUCAGCCUCCCAAUUCCACGGAGCCCCUUGAAAAUCCAGGAGCGCAGACUGGCAACAGUAGAGAUUUAAUAGGAGUUUACUGGAGGUUAUACUCCAGUCAAAGAAGAUGGAAACCAAGAAAGGACACAUUUUGGAGAUUAGCACUGGCUCCAGGAACCCAGUGAACAGAAGACUCAGGCUGAAGGCUUGUGCAUUCAGCCCAGAGAAAAUCCACUUAAAUUCAGAACAAUUAAGGACUCUGGGGAAGAAGGACUUCACAUGGUAGUGUGAUUGGAAGGCAGAUAAAUUUUAGGACACAAUGGAAGUUCCUAAGAUUUUUUAUCCUUUUCCAAUAGGAAGGAUAAAAAAAUCAUCUAAAACUAGAGGAAAAAUCAUCUAAAACAAGGUAUAAAGAAAUGGCUCACGUGUGACCCUUAUUUUACUGUGACAUGGAGCAUUUGAUGAAGGAUGUGGGAAGGGAGCCUGCUUAACUAUGAAGUGAGUAGCAUCGCCCCAGGAGCACCAUGACAGAUGCACAGGACAUGGAGGGAAGGAAAUGGCAUCCUGGCACAGCCCUGGCUCUACAUUGAGCAAUGUAGACAAAAUCAUAAAGGCUGCUCUAGUUUUCUACUUUUAGAAUCAACCUACAGACAUGUAAGACUUAAUUGUAGUUGUAGAAUAAAAGAUAAAAGAUUAUUGGCUUUCAUAACAAUAAAGUCCUAACAAUGAUUCACAGUUAUUCCAUGAAUAAGGGUAGGGGAAAAGAGGGAGGAAUGUAAGGCAUUUUAUAUGGAGCAAGGGAGGCAAAAGACGUUGACAGAGGCUUAUGGAACAACACACACACGCACACAAAUAGAAGGAAUAUAUUGCUUAAAAUGACAAAAAUAGCCAACAUAGGCUGGGUGCGGUGGCUCAUGCCUGUAAUCCCAGCACUUUGGGAGGCUGAGGCGGACGGAUCACUUGAAGCCAGGAGUUCAAGACCAGCCUGGCCAACAUGGUGAAACCCCGUCUCUACUAAAAAUACAAAAAUUGACUGGGCGCAGUGGUGUGCAUCUGUAGUUCCAACUACUUGGGAGGCUGAGGCAGGAGAAUCACUUGAAUCCGGGAGGCGGAGGUUGCAGUGAGCCGAGAUCACGCCACUGCAUCCUAGCCUGGGUGACAGAGUGAGACCGUCUGAAAAAGAAAAAAGCCAACAUAGGAAUUUUUAAAAUAAUAUAUAAUUACCAAAAAUUGGGGAAAAUAGAGACAGGGAAGGCAGUUCUAUAAGCGAGAUAAAUCUUUAUCUUUUGUAUCAGAAAGUCAAUAAAUAUUGUCUGAAUUUGAUUGGUUAUUUCCAUUUUUAUGAAAUGUCUACAAUAGGCAAAUCUAUAGAACCAGUAAAGAAAUUAGGAAUUCCUGUGGCUGGGACUGAAGAGUGAAAUCACUGCAAGUGGUCAAGAGGGAUCUUCUGAAGUGAUAGGUGUGUUCUAAAAUUGGGCUGUGGGGAUGCUUGCACAACUCUGUAACUUUGCUAAAAUUCAUUUCAUUACACAUUUAGUGAGUUUUAUGAUAUGUACAUUACCCAUCAAUAAAGCUGUGUUAAAAAAAAGGCUGA